AUGAUCUAUUGAUUCUUGCCUCAUGAGCCUGAAGCGAGCCCAUCAGUUCAUCAACGGAGAAUAUGGAUAGAUCCUCAGCUUCUUCUAAGGCAACCACCACAUGGUCAAACUUUGGAGUCAAGCUUCUCAACACCUUUGCAACAAUUGUUUCAAACUUCUUCUGUAGAAUUGACCAUGCCUACUUUGAUGUGGUUGCUGCUGCAAUUCGUGAAAAGAGUCUCAUGAACUGCUUGCUGAAUAAUGAAUAGAGCCUUGGCAUCGUUUUUCUUGGUUUCUCUUAGUCUCUCCUUUUCUUCUAUUGAGGGUUCUAAUACAUCAACAAACCCGUGCUCCACCAAGUCCCAUAGCUCCUGCGAUCUGAGCAAGGUCUUCAUCUUGAUGCUCCACCACUCAUAUUUCUCACCAUUAAAGAUUGGUAACAACUGUGCAGAAGAA